UACGUAGGGUGCGAGCGUUGUCCGGAAUUACUGGGCGUAAAGAGCUUGUAGGUGGUUUGUCGCGUUGUUCGUGAAAUCUCACGGCUCAACUGUGAGCGUGCGGGGCGAUACGGGCAGACUAGAGUACUGCAGGGGGAGACUGAAUUCCUGGUGUAGCGGUGGAAUGCGCAGAUAUCAGGAGGAACACCGGUGGCGAAGGCGGAUCUCUGGGCAGUAACUGACGCUGAGAAGCGAAAGCGUGGGGAGCGAACAGG
rnacentral:rRNA from 1 species